UACGGAAGGCAGCAGUGGGGAAUAUUGCACAAUGGGCGCAAGCCUGAUGCAGCCAUGCCGCGUGUAUGAAAAAGGCCUUCGGGUUGUAAAGUACUUUCAGUCGUGAGGAAGGUGUUAAGGUUAAUAACCUUAGCAAUUGACGUUAGCGACAGAAGAAGCACCGGCUAACUCCGUGCCAGCAGCCGCGGUAAUACGGAGGGUGCGAGCGUUAAUCGGAAUUACUGGGCGUAAAGGGCACGCAGGCGGUUAAUUAAGUUGGAUGUGAAAUCCCCGGGCUUAACCUGGGAAUGGCAUUCAAGCUGGUUAGCUAGAGUCUUGUAGAGGGGGGUAGAAUUCCAUGUGUAGCGGUGAAAUGCGUAGAGAUGUGGAGGAAUACCGGUGGCGAAGGCGGCCCCUGGACAAAGACUGACGCUCAUGUGCGAAAGCGUGGGGAGCAAACGAGGGAUUAGAUACC
rnacentral:rRNA from 1 species